rnacentral:rRNA from 1 species
AUGAGCUCGCGGCCUAUCAGCUUGUUGGUGAGGUAAUGGCUCACCAAGGCGUCGACGGGUAGCCGGCCUGAGAGGGUGACCGGCCACACUGGGACUGAGACACGGCCCAGACUCCUACGGGAGGCAGCAGUGGGGAAUAUUGCACAAUGGGCGAAAGCCUGAUGCAGCAACGCCGCGUGAGGGAUGACGGCCUUCGGGUUGUAAACCUCUUUUAGCAGGGAAGAAGCGAAAGUGACGGUACCUGCAGAAAAAGCGCCGGCUAACUACGUGCCAGCAGCCGCGGUAAUACGUAGGGCGCAAGCGUUAUCCGGAAUUAUUGGGCGUAAAGAGCUCGUAGGCGGUCUGUCGCGUCUGCUGUGAAAACCCGAGGCUCAACCUCGGGCCUGCAGUGGGUACGGGCAGACUAGAGUGCGGUAGGGGAGAUUGGAAUUCCUGGUGUAGCGGUGGAAUGCGCAGAUAUCAGGAGGAACACCGAUGGCGAAGGCAGAUCUCUGGGCCGUAACUGACGCUGAGGAGCGAAAGGGUGGGGAGCAAACAGGCUUAGAUACCCUGGUAGUCCACCCCGUAAACGUUGGGAACUAGUUGUGGGGUCCAUUCCACGGAUUCCGUGACGCAGCUAACGCAUUAAGUUCCCCGCCUGGGGAGUACGGCCGCAAGGCUAAAACUCAAAGGAAUUGACGGGGACCCGCACAAGCGGCGGAGCAUGCGGAUUAAUUCGAUGCAACGCGAAGAACCUUACCAAGGCUUGACAUAUACGAGAACGGGCCAGAAAUGGUCAACUCUUUGGACACUCGUAAACAGGUGGUGCAUGGUUGUCGUCAGCUCGUGUCGUGAGAUGUUGGGUUAAGUCCCGCAACGAGCGCAACCCUCGUUCUAUGUUGCCAGCACGUAAUGGUGGGAACUCAUGGGAUACUGCCGGGGUCAACUCGGAGGAAGGUGGGGAUGACGUCAAAUCAUCAUGCCCCUUAUGUCUUGGGCUUCACGCAUGCUACAAUGGCCGGUACAAAGGGCUGCAAUACCGCGAGGUGGAGCGAAUCCCAAAAAGCCGGUCCCAGUUCGGAUUGAGGUCUGCAACUCGACCUCAUGAAGUCGGAGUCGCUAGUAAUCGCAGAUCAGCAACGCUGCGGUGAAUACGUUCCCGGGUCUUGUACACACCGCCCGUCAAGUCAUGAAAGUCGGUAACACCUGAAGCCGGUGGCCCAACC